AUUGAACGCUGGCGGCAUGCUUUACACAUGCAAGUCGAACGGCAGCGCGGGGGCAACCCUGGCGGCGAGUGGCGAACGGGUGAGUAAUGCAUCGGAACGUAUCCUGUAAUGGGGGAUAACGUAGCGAAAGUUACGCUAAUACCGCAUACGCUCGAGAGAGGAAAGUGGGGGAUCGCAAGACCUCACGUUAUAGGAGCGGCCGAUGUCCGAUUAGCUAGUUGGUGGGGUAAAGGCCUACCAAGGCGACGAUCGGUAGCUGGUCUGAGAGGAUGAUCAGCCACACUGGGACUGAGACACGGCUCAGACUCCUACGGGAGGCAGCAGUGGGGACUUUUGGACAAUGGGCGAAAGCCUGAUCCAGCCAUGCCGCGUGCGGGAAGAAGGCCUUCGGGUUGUAAACCGCUUUAGUCCGGGAAAUAGGGCUGCGAGGAUAAUACCCUUGUGCUUUGAUGGUACUGGAAGAAUAAGCACCGGCUAACUACGUGCCAGCAGCCGCGGUAAUACGUAGGGUGCGAGCGUUAAUCGGAAUUACUGGGCGUAAAGCGUGCGCAGGCGGUCUUGUAAGACAGUCGUGAAAGCCCCGGGCUUAACCUGGGAACUGCGAUUGUGACUGCAAGGCUAGAGUGUGUCAGAGGGGGGUGGAAUUCCACGUGUAGCAGUGAAAUGCGUAGAGAUGUGGAGGAACACCGAUGGCGAAGGCAGCCCCCUGGGAUAACACUGACGCUCAUGCACGAAAGCGUGGGGAGC
rnacentral:rRNA from 1 species